CAGUUCUUGACAUUCCUAUUCCUUGUCUUUUGCAUGUAAAGCCUGUCAGCUCUGAGAUCCAGUAAGAUCUUUCUUUCUAUAUCUUUUAUCUACCGUUCUCCUUGUCCUGUAUGGUCUUAUUCUGAGUGUUGGGUUAAACCUAUCCUGACAAUUUCUUAUUACUGGGCUGGUGCAGCCAACUCUUCAUUAAAAUAUGAUUAUCUAACAGUUCUUAUAUAGUGCUAGCCCAGGGCACUUUGCAUUUAUUAAAACAGAACAUUUGUAAUUAUUCAGAA